UAAUAUUUAUAUAUUUUAAAUUCAAUAGCUGUAAAGAUAAAAUCUUCUAUAACACAAUCACCAUUCCAACAACCAUUUAAAUCUCCCUUCACUUCAUUUCACUCUUUUUCUAAUGUAUUAUCAACUGAGUCACAAUCUUAUUUACAUCUUCAUCUUUCUCCCAAAAUAAUAGAAAAGAGAUUUUUUAUCAUUUUACCCCCAAUCCAUCGGCAACCGUUAAAAUCGAGAAUAUCGCAACGAAUUUUAAAACCAUCGUUCUCAUCACAGCCUAAUUCUCCAUUUAUUUCAACUUCAUCUGUAUCAAAAAGCUAUGAACAAGAAAGUAUAAAUACUUCAAAUAUUGCAUUAAACAAGUUUCCAUUAACAGAAGCAAGAUUUCAGUAUAAGGUUCUCCACAAGUUACAAGAGAUUUUAGAAGAAAUAAAGAAGCAGGGUGAAAUAAAUGAAUUGCCUGAUUCGAUUUAUUCUAUAAAUCAAAUGUCAGAUUUGGAAGGUUUUAAUGAGUUUGACAAGGGGUUGAAUGAUAUUGUCAACACACUCGUUUGAGAACUCAGCUUUCCAAAAUUGGUGGUGUUUCAUGCUAUACAAAUGUAAAAUCAAUACUUUUAAAACUCGUGAAAAACAAAUUAAUGUCAAGUUUUAAUAUGGAUGGAACGAGGAAUAAGAAUGCGUUUCGUAAGACAAAUCUGAUGAAGGUUAUUGCUGAGGCCAUUUCAAAGUAUGAUGAAAUGAAAAUAGAAAAAUGCGUUGGAAAUGUGCUUAAAAGAGCGCCGGAUAGAAAAGGCGGAGGUGGACGGGAUAAAGAAAAUCAUAAUAGAUGUUUUUUAAAUAUUUUUGUAAUUUGAAGUAUCUUUAACAUGGUUUACACUGCAAAUUGUGUUUUAUA